rnacentral:tRNA from 1 species
GGGGGCGUAGCUCAGCCGGUAGAGCAGCGGCCUUUUAAGCCGUAGGUCGCAGGUUCGAACCCUGCCGCCCUCACCA